AAUUCAUGGUGUGGGAAUCUCUAAAUUAGCAUUUUAAAAUGCUCCUAUGCUUCGUCAAAACUUUCCCCUUCCAAUUGUUUAAAUGUUGCAAUCUCUCUCCUCAGCU
rfam:Gossypium arboreum cultivar AKA8401 contig_4629_9, whole genome shotgun sequence.